GGCUCAAUGGUCUAGUGGUAUGAUUCGCGCUUCGGGUGGUUUUUCAACUCCCUUACUUGGUCAACAAGUAAACAAGCAUGUGCGAGGUCUCGGGUUCGAAUCCCGAUUGAGCCC